UGGGGAAUCUUGGACAAUGGGCGCAAGCCUGAUCCAGCCAUGCCGCGUGGAUGAUGAAGGCCUUAGGGUUGUAAAAUCCUUUCGCCGAGGACGAUAAUGACGGUACUCGGAGAAGAAGCUCCGGCUAACUCCGUGCCAGCAGCCGCGGUAAUACGGAGGGAGCUAGCGUUGUUCGGAAUUACUGGGCGUAAAGCGUACGUAGGCGGUGACUCAAGUCAGAGGUGAAAGCCUGGAGCUCAACUCCAGAACUGCCUUUGAAACUGGCUGUCUCGAGGUCGAGAGAGGUUGGUGGAAUUCCUAGUGUAGAGGUGAAAUUCGUAGAUAUUAGGAAGAACACCAGUGGCGAAGGCGGCCAACUGGCUCGAUACUGACGCUGAGGUGCGAAAGCGUGGGGAGCAAACAGGAUUAGAUACCCUAGUAGUCCCUGAGCGGGCUGGCAAGGCGCAU
rnacentral:rRNA from 1 species